rnacentral:lncRNA from 1 species
ACAAACCACAACCUCGCAGAGCAAAAAUUUUUUUUUUUUUUUUUAGAGAGAUAGGUAGCACGUUAUCCGUUUCGUUUAUUUUAUUUAGAAAUAAAUUUAGCUGGAAAUGUGAAUCAAAUAGGAUUCGAACUUGAAUCUCGGAUACCAACUACCAAAUCCUUUGCCAAUUGCUCUAAGGACGGUCGGUCGCAGAGCAAAAAUAUUAAAAACUAACUUUGCUACUAUAUU